rnacentral:rRNA from 1 species
CCUACGGGAGGCAGCAGUGAGGAAUAUUGGUCAAUGGGCGCGAGCCUGAACCAGCCAAGUCGCGUGAGGGAUGAAUGUUCUAUGGAUUGUAAACCUCUUUUAUAAGGGAAUAAAGUGUGGGACGUGUCCUAUUUUGUAUGUACCUUAUGAAUAAGGAUCGGCUAACUCCGUGCCAGCAGCCGCGGUAAUACGGAGGAUCCGAGCGUUAUCCGGAUUUAUUGGGUUUAAAGGGUGCGUAGGUGGCCUUUUAAGUCAGUUGUGAAAGUUUGUGGCUCAACCAUAUAAUUGCCGUUGAAACUGGGAGGCUUGAGUAUAGUAGAGGCAGGCGGAAUGCGUGGUGUAGCGGUGAAAUGCUUAGAUAUCACGCAGAACCCCGAUUGCGAAGGCAGCCUGCCAGGCCAUAACUGACGCUGAUGCACGAAAGCGUGGGGAUCAAACAGGAUUAGAUACCCCUGUAGUC